AGUGAACGCUGGCGGUAGGCCUAACACAUGCAAGUCGAACGGCAGCACAGUAAGAGCUUGCUCUUACGGGUGGCGAGUGGCGGACGGGUGAGGAAUACAUCGGAAUCUACUUUUUCGUGGGGGAUAACGUAGGGAAACUUACGCUAAUACCGCAUACGACCUACGGGUGAAAGCAGGGGAUCUUCGGACCUUGCGCGAUUGAAUGAGCCGAUGUCGGAUUAGCUAGUUGGCGGGGUAAAGGCCCACCAAGGCGACGAUCCGUAGCUGGUCUGAGAGGAUGAUCAGCCACACUGGAACUGAGACACGGUCCAGACUCCUACGGGAGGCAGCAGUGGGGAAUAUUGGAGCAUGGGCGGAAGCCUGCUCCAGCCAUACCGCGUGGGUGAAGAAGGCCUUCGGGUUGUAAAGCCCUUUUGUUGGGAAAGAAAAGCAGCAGGUUAAUACCCCGCUGUUCUGACGGUACCCAAAGAAUAAGCACCGGCUAACUUCGUG
rnacentral:rRNA from 1 species